rnacentral:rRNA from 1 species
AUAACUCCGGGAAACCGGGGCUAAUGCCGGAUAACAUGUUGGACCGCAUGGUCCUACAGUGAAAGACGGUCUUGCUGUCACUUAUAGAUGGACCCGCGCCGUAUUAACUAGUUGGUAAGGUAACGGCUUACCAAGGCAACGAUACGUAGCCGACCUGAGAGGGUGAUCGGCCACACUGGAACUGAAACACGGUCCAGACUCCUACGGGAGGCAGCAGUAGGGAAUCUUCCGCAAUGGGCGAAAGCCUGACGGAGCAACGCCGCGUGAGUGAUGAAGGCCUUCGGGUCGUAAAACUCUGUUAUUAGGGAAGAACAAAUGUGUAAAUAACUAUGCACGUCUUGACGGUACCUAAUCAGAAAGCCACGGCUAACUACGUGCCAGCAGCCGCGGUAAUACGUAGGUGGCAAGCGUUAUCCGGAAUUAUUGGGCGUAAAGCGCGCGUAAGCGGUUUCUUAAGUCUGAUGUGAAAGCCCACGGCUCAACCGUGGAGGGUCAUUGGAAACUGGGAAACUUGAGUGCAGGAAAGGAAAGUGGAAUUCCAUGUGUAGCGGUGAAAUGCGCAGAGAUAUGGAGGAACACCAGUGGCGAAAGCGACUUUCUGGUCUGCAACUGACGCUGAUGUGCGAAAGCGUGGGGAUCAAACAGGAUUAGAUACCCUGGUAGUCCACGCCGUAAACGAUGAGUGCUAAGUGUUAGGGGGUUUCCGCCCCUUAGUGCUGCAGCUAACGCAUUAAGCACUCCGCCUGGG